GUGAGUUGGAACGGAGCCAGUGUCUGUUCUUGGCGGAUCCAUUUUGGGUUGUACCUCAUCCUAAAUUUGACGGUACCCGUAAUGUUUCCGCUGAGAACCGACUGUGCACCACUUUGCCCAUUGGA
rnacentral:precursor_RNA from 15 species